GUUUGGGAGCAAUAGCAAAUUGCGUUGGGCAAGGUAAUCUGGACGAACGCUUGGGAUCUGUGUGGGAAGUUUUCCUGAAGACGGGUGUGAUUCGUUUGCUGACUACCUUUGACCUUCCGUCGUCUUCUUGACGGACGCCAUCUGCUACUCUGGAUUUACGGACUGAACUGACUACGGCCUCGGAUUCUCCUACCUGUGUCUGUCGUUGGAACUGGUGAACUACAAACGUCUGCAUCUGCCUUACGACCUUCGGAACGGACUGGGACUACGCUGACUGCUUCAACCCUCGUCUGCUGUGUUUGUAUUGGGAAUUUGCCUGCUGUGUGGAGGAGUAACCUCUAAGUUACUCAAACAUUGUUUUUGGCAGCAGAGAAGCAUCUGCUGCCAAUUAGUUGCAUUCUUUUGAACUUUUUGUUCACCAGCUUCUGUUUGUUUAAUCCCAGGCUGAAGCAAGCUGUUUUGAUUUAGUCCGAAUUAAACUCCGGUUUAAUUCGGUUUAUCUUUUGAACGUUUUUCUUGUCUCUUUUUUACUUUUAAGGCCAGUGUUUGCCUAGCCCUUGUCUUUUACGGGCAUUUUUGGUUCUGUAACUCCAAUAAACUCUGUUAUCUUUUA